GACGAACGCUGGCGGCGUGCUUAACACAUGCAAGUCGAACGGGAGUAUUGAAGAAGCUUGCUUUAGAGAUACUUUAGUGGCGGACGGGUGAGUAACGCGUGAGGAGCUGUCCGAUGCAGGGGGACAACAGUUGGAAACGACUGCUAAUACCCCAUAAGCCGAGAGGUAAAAGGAUUUAUCCGGCAAUGGAGGUACUCGCGUCCUAUCAGCUAGUAGGUGAGGUAACGGCUCACCUAGGCGAAGACGGGUAGCCGGCCUGAGAGGGCGAACGGCCACACUGGAACUGAGAUACGGUCCAGACUCCUACGGGAGGCAGCAGUGGGGAAUAUUGGGCAAUGGGGGGAACCCUGACCCAGCGACGCCGCGUGGGUGAAGAAAUCCUUCGGGAUGUAAAGCCCUGUUGUAUGGGAAGAGCGGAAGACGGUACCAUACGAGGAAGCCCCGGCCAACUACGUG
rnacentral:rRNA from 1 species